AGCAGGGCUGGGUGCAGGGAAAGUAAAUGUGUCCAGCCCUGACAUGUGUGCACUAAUAACAUGAUUGUAAUCAUGACCUUUUCCGGUUUAACAAAAUCUUGGAGGUCAAGUUUGCAGUGUUUGGAAUAAUGACAAUACAUUUCUCAAUGCUAUGAAGCUGCUGAUAGAUUCACUUGUAAACACAGUAACCCUGAGUUUUGUCAUUCUCUCCUAGGUGUCAGGAGGCCUGACUACACCCCAGCGCAGAGAAUCCAGUGCUCCCAAUCCACUACGUCGCUUCCCGAUGAAGAUGUUCAGAAAGACACAGCCGCUGUCUCCAUGCCCUCCCUAGCAGGGUCAGCUGAGGAAGCACGAGGGUUUGACCUGAAGCUCGACAUUCACAGUCCUAGAUAAGCUGGUGUGACUCCAUUGACACAGAAAUGAAUAAACGGCUCAGCUGAGGCUUCAUCUUUUACACUUCAUUAUACCCUGAUACUGCCCCACAGAAAGCGAUCGGAUAAACCGAUAGA